AGGUGAAAAUCCUUAGGAAGGUGCCAAGGACCCUCAGAGAAAGAAAAUGUAUAGAAACAGAAACGGAGAACCAAAGUCAAACUUCAUCUACUUAAUAGAUGUACUUACCUCAAAUUAUUCUGCCUAUACCAUUGCACACUUGCUUAAAUGAUAUCUCCUCCCUGCCCCUUUUAAAUGGUGUAUUUCCUCAGUAUCUCCAAAUAGAGCAGAGUGUUGCUUUUCGAGACUAGGCAGUGUGGGCUGUCUCUCUUCCGCUCUCCCCACCCCCACCCCAAAUCUACAAUACUGGCAUAAAGAAGAUGCCCAAUGACUGACUGUGAGUGGAAAGCACAUAAAAACACAGAAAACUUCUUUCAGUCUCUUACUUGCUCAUUUUAUUUUUAGCUUAGCAAGCAAUAGUUGCAAUGAGUAUUUUUGAAUGAAUAAAUAAAUUUUCUCCAUGGUCUCUGAAUUCUACCCUCCCCUUUUUCUUUCAGGGCUGGAACAACCAUUAUCUCUGACAACUUAAACUCGCAUUCCCUUGUAUUCAUCGUAUCUGUAAGUAUACAAUAAAAGCAUUACCUUCUUCAGUUAAAGUCUGGUGGGGAGCUAUAAACCAAUAGUUAUAUCUCUCAGUUGACUUCCAUAUUUGUGAUCAACUCUAAAGCUAAGGGGCCAGUUGAACCUGACUGCAGAUGACGUAAAUAUUAACUCCCUUGUGAAAUUGUUAAGCUAAAUAAACUUCAUAUGUCAUUACAGAAGAUGACGCAUUUAAGAGCUCCAAGUUUCUUUCGUAUUCAGAGUCUUUUCAGGGUCUGUGUUGGAUAACUGCUCAGAUGAAUGCUAAGGAUAUACCAGUGUACACAUUCCUGUGUGAUGAAGAUCAGUUCUUCCACCCUGAAAGAGUUCCACACCAUUCCUCCACCAAGAGGAGCUCUUGAUGCAACUGGUGGAAGUUUAGCAACCACAGUUUCUCCCAAGACUUCACUCUCAGCAGGAAGGAAGAAAACACUAGACGAAAAGAAACAGCAUCCCACCUGCAGUGCCCACUCUGGAACCGGUGUUUUGUGGAUAAUUGCCUCAGCUUCCCAGUCUCUGAUGGAAGGUUUGUUAACACAGUUCCUCAAAGGGUCCUGUAUUAGCUGUCUGUGUGACAGAUGACUUCCAACUCAGGGGCUUAGAAUAACAAAAAUUUCUUGUUUCUGUUUCUACAGGUAGGAAUCAGGAAGCAGCUUAGCCAGAUUGUUCUGACUUGGAGUUUCUCACCAGAGGAGCCAUGUGUCAACCAAAACUGUAGUCUUCUGAGGCAUGACUGGGUCUGAAGGACUCACUUCUAUCUCACAUGGCUGUUGGCAGAAGGAUUCCCCUCACCAUGUGGACCCCUGCCCAGGGCUUCUCACCAUAUGGCUUCCCCCAGAGUGAGUGGUCCAAAAGAGAGCAGGCCAGUGCCCAAAAUGAGAGCCAGUCUUUUUUACGAUCUAACCUCAAAAAUGACAUAAUAUCUCUUCUUCUGUAUGCUGUUGGUCACACCGACCAACCCUGGUGCAAUGUGGAAGGACACUGCACAAAGGUGUGAUUCUAAGGAGGCAAGGAUCCCUGGGGGCCACCUUGGAGACUGGCCACCACCGGUCCCCAGGAGGAUUGAAUCUUAGGUGCUACAGGGAGAGAUUGACUGAUAAUGUGUUCUUUUCUUCUUCCUUGUGUCGCUUUACCCAUCCCCUCGCUUUCUGCUUCCUGAUAUGACCCUCCUCCCAACCAACCACAAAGCUGACCUAAACCUAUUGCCUGACUUGGGUUCUCAUUUCAGAGGGACCCAACAUAAGAGAAAUCCUGGCCCAUUAUGCAAAAUUGUCAGCCAGCUUCUUCCUUGAACUUUGCUAGUUGAGAAAAAAUGGGCCUACUUCAAAUUUUUAACUUAAAAAAAAAAACAAAAACCUGUUUAUUUGGCUGCACCCAGUCUUAGCAGCAUGUGAGAUCUAGUUCCCUGGCCAGAGAUCAAAACCAGGCCCCCUGUAUUGGAAGCAUGGUGUCUUAACCAUUGGACCACCAGGGACGUCCGCAUUUUUAACUUUGUAUUUUGAAAUAACUUACAACAUAAAAUUGCAAUAAUGCUAUAAAGAGCUCCCAAAUACCUCUAUCCAGAUUCACCAGUUUUUAAUAUUUUGCCAUGCUGGAGAAGACUCUUGAGAGUCCCUUGGACUGCAAGGAGAUCCAACCAGUCCAUUCUGAAGGAGAUCAACCCUGGGAUUUCUUUGGAAGGAAUGAUGCUAAAGCUGAAACUCCAGUACUUUGGCCACCUCAUGAGAAGAGUUGACUCAUUGGAAAAAACUCUGAUGCUGGAAGGGAUUGGGGGCAGGAGGAGAAGGGGACAACCAAGGAUGAGAUGGCUGGAUGGCAUCACUGACUCGAUGGACGUGAGUCUGAGUGAACUCCAGGAGAUGGUGAUGGACAGGGAGGCCUGGCGUGCUGUGAUUCAUGGGGUUGCAAAGAGUCAGACACGACUGAGCAACUGAACUGAACUGAACUUUCAUUCUCAAAGGCCUGGAUUCUGAACCUUAUUAAAAUAUCAAGUGUCAUUCUUGCUUUACUUUUAUUCUAUAUUCACAAUAUGAUUUUGUUUGAUUUCUUUUUCAUUGAAUUUGUAUUUAUCUUUGGGGAAGUCCCUCAAUCUCUUUACACUUGUUUUCUCAUCUGAAAUGUGAAGAUGUUUAUGACUUAGGGUUGUUAUAAAAAUUAGAUGAAAGAGAGCAUGUAAAAAUUUAGAACAGGGCCUGGCAUGCAGUAAGUACUCAAUAAAUAUUAGCCUUUUAUUCAUUGUAUCCACAAAUAUUUAUCGAGAAACUUGUGGUUGUUAUAUCUUUGGUGACUGAUAAAUAAUUCAAUCCCAGGAGAUGAGCACUGAUAAUAAUAGUUUAAAUUGUAAUACACACACACACAGGAAAUAAAAUGGCGUCUGAGCUUUGCUUCAAAAUUAUUUUCAGGGAGAAUGGGUGAUGGAUACAUGAAGUUUCAUUAUAUUAUCUUCUUUUUUGCAUAUAUUUAAAAUGUUGCAUAAUACUAAGUUUAAAAAAAAAGUACAAAGACACAUAUACCAAAUUAACCAUUCUCAAAUGUCUGGUAAAUGUCACAUUUUCCCACAGUUGGGUCAUUUAAUUGGUUUGGAAAAUAUUAAAAUGAGACAAUGAAUCUUAAGAUUCUGAUGGUCACAGAGCUCAGCUUCCUGUACUUUCACCAUUAAUUUGACAGCCACUACUCCACAUUUUUUUUUCUUUAUAGCAUUGAGCCUUGACACUAGUUGUGUCCAGGUAAUUACUUAUUGGCUAUGACUGAAUAUUACAUUGUUUAUUUAUAUCUUGCUUGUGAUGUUACAUAAGCGAGCAUUCAGAAAACUACAUUUAUAAAUGUGAUUCUUAAUCUAUGAGUCACUUCAAGCCUUAGGAACU
ensembl:lincRNA